rnacentral:rRNA from 1 species
AAUCAACGCUGGCGGCGUGCCUCAGACAUGCAAGUCGAACGAUUAAAGCUCUCUUCGGAGAGUGUAUAGAGUGGCGCACGGGUGAGUAACACGUAAGUAAUCUACCCUCGAGUGGGGAAUAACAACCGGAACGGUUGCUAAUACCGCAUAAUGCAGCGGCACCGCAAGGUGACAGUUGUUAAAGAUUUAUCGCUUGAGGAGGAGCUUGCGGCAGAUUAGCUAGUUGGUAGGGUAACGGCUUACCAAGGCUACGAUCUGUAACCGGUCUAAGAGGACGGUCGGUCACACUGACACUGAAUAACGGGUCAGACUCCUACGGGAGGCAGCAGUCGGGAAUUUUGGGCAAGUGGGCGAAAGCCUGACCCAGCAACG